UACGUAGGGGGCUAGCGUUGUCCUGAUUUAUUGGGCGUAAAGAGCGUGUAGGCUGCCAGGUAGGUCUGCUGUGAAAACUCGAGGCUCAACCUCGAGACGUCGGCGGAAACCAUCUGGCUAGAGUCCGGAAGAGGAGAGUGGAAUUCCUGGUGUAGCGGUGAAAUGCGCAGAUAUCAGGAAGAACACCCGUGGCGAAGGCGGCUCUCUGGGACGGUACUGACGCUGAGACGCGAAAGCGUGGGAGCGAACAGG
rnacentral:rRNA from 1 species